UACGUAGGGUGCAAGCGUUGUCCGGAAUUAUUGGGCGUAAAGAGCUCGUAGGCGGUUUGUUGCGUCGGCUGUGAAAUCCCGAGGCUCAACCUCGGGUCUGCAGUCGAUACGAGCAAACUAGAGUGUUGCAUGGGAGACUGGAAUUCCUGGUGUAGCGGUGAAAUGCGCAGAUAUCAGGAGGAACACCGGUGGCGAAGGCGGGUCUCUGGGCCAUUACUGACGCUGAGGAGCGAAAGCGUGGGGAGCGAACAGG
rnacentral:rRNA from 1 species